GACGUAGGGGGCCAGCGUUGUUCGGAAUUACUGGGUGUAAAGGGUUCGUAGGCGGUGUGGCAAGUCGGGAGUGAAAUCUCUGGGCUCAACCCAGAGUCUGGCUUCCGAAACUGCUGUGCUUGAGUGUGGGAGAGGCGCGUGGAAUUGCAGGUGUAGCGGUGAAAUGCGUAGAUAUCUGCAGGAACACCCGUGGCGAAAGCGGCGCGCUGGACCACUACUGACGCUGAGGAACGAAAGCUAGGGGAGCAAACAGG
rnacentral:rRNA from 1 species